rnacentral:rRNA from 1 species
AGUCUGCAACUCGACUGCACGAAGCUGGAAUCGCUAGUAAUCGCGGAUCAGCACGCCGCGGUGAAUGCGUUCCCGGGCCUUGUACACACCGCCCGUCACACCAUGAGAGUCUGUAACACCCAAAGCCGGUGGGAUAACCACUUAUGUGGAAGGAGCCGUCUAAGGCAGGGCAGAUGACUGGGGUGAAGUCGUAACAAGGUACC